UAGCAUAUAUCUAGUAUAUCA
rnacentral:piRNA from 1 species